GGAAGUAAAAGUUCGUAACAAGGUCUCCGUUGGUGAACCAGCGGAGGGAUCAUUACCGAGUUAUACAACUCCCAAACCCACUGUGAACCUUACCUCAGUUGCCUCGGCGGGAACGCCCCGGCCGCCUGCCCCCGCGCCGGCGCCGGACCCAGGCGCCCGCCGCAGGGACCCCAAACUCUCUUGCAUUACGCCCAGCGGGCGGAAUUUCUUCUCUGAGUUGCACAAGCAAAAACAAAUGAAUCAAAACUUUCAACAACGGAUCUCUUGGUUCUGGCAUCGAUGAAGAACGCAGCGAAAUGCGAUAAGUAAUGUGAAUUGCAGAAUUCAGUGAAUCAUCGAAUCUUUGAACGCACAUUGCGCCCGCCAGCAUUCUGGCGGGCAUGCCUGUUCGAGCGUCAUUUCAACCCUCGAGCCCCCCCGGGGGCCUCGGUGUUGGGGGACGGCACACCAGCCGCCCCCGAAAUGCAGUGGCGACCCCGCCGCAGCCUCCCCUGCGUAGUAGCACACACCUCGCACCGGAGCGCGGAGGCGGUCACGCCGUAAAACGCCCAACUUUCUUAGAGUUGACCUCGGAUCAGGUAGGAAUACCCGCUGAACUUAAGCAUAUCAAUAAGCGGAGGA
rnacentral:rRNA from 1 species